rnacentral:lncRNA from 1 species
UUACCGAUCCGUAGUUGGAUUCCAUAUUUGGUAACAUUGGUUUUAUUUGGUAAUGAUGUUUCAGGUUCAAUUACAAAUACUCUUGUGAAUUAUUCAUAUUUGAAUAAGUUGAUGUUAUCUAACAAUCACUUAAUAGUAGAAUACCUCAGGAAAUUGUUAGUUUAACUAGGCCUCAUAAGUUUUCUAUUGCUAAUAAUUAAUUUAGUGAAAAUAUUCCAUCAUUUUUCAAUGGUUCUGAUAAGGAUGAUUUUGAUGGGAAUAGUGAUUCAUAUGGUGGGCCAUUUGGUUCAAAGUUUGGUAAUAUGAGUAGGAAGAAUAUUGUUGAUGUUGGUGUUUUCGUGUAACAAGUUCUUUGUUGUUGGCUUUUGUCUUAUGGCAGUGGUAUCAUAUUACAAAGAAGAUAAAAGAGGCCGGUGUAAAGAGAGAGAGAUACGGUUAAACCUUCCACGUUUUCAAAAGUUGAAAAAAUUGGAGUUUGAAAACUCAAUUAUUUUAGAUUUAUUGUGAAUAAAAAUAAUAGGGAUCAGUUCCCCAUGUUUUGUUUAAUUAUUAUUAUUUUUUAAUCAAAUAUUUAUUAGGGUUAGAAUAUGUGGGUUAAUUGGGCCAUUUAGCAUUUGGUUUAGUGCUAUUUUACUUCAUUUGUGUUCUAAAUUGGAUUUUUAAUCCAUGUAUUCGACAAUUUUAUGUCGAUAUACAGUCAAAAUUUUAAUAUGUUAACAAAAUAUUUUCACCAUGUUAUAAUCUUGCGUGUGACAUUAAUCAUAUGUCAUUUCGUACAAACUAGUUUAUGAGCACAUUGUGAUUUACUUACUUCAAUCACUUGUAAUUAAAUUAAUUAAUUAAUCGAGAUUUAUUUAAAUAAGUUAAU